rnacentral:rRNA from 1 species
CAGGCUUAACACAUGCAAGUCGAGCGGAGCGAGGGUGCUUGCACCUUAGCUUAGCGGCGGACGGGUGAGUAACGCGUGGGAACGUGCCCUUUGCUACGGAAUAGCCCCGGGAAACUGGGAGUAAUACCGUAGGUGCCCUUCGGGGGAAAGAUUUAUCGGCAAAGGAUCGGCCCGCGUUGGAUUAGGUAGUUGGUGGGGUAAUGGCCUACCAAGCCGACGAUCCAUAGCUGGUGUGAGAGGAUGAUCAGCCACACUGGGACUGAGACACGGCCCAGACUCCUACGGGAGGCAGCAGUGGGGAAUCUUAGACAAUGGGCGCAAGCCUGAUCUAGCCAUGCCGCGUGAGCGAUGAAGGCCUUAGGGUUGUAAAGCUCUUUCAGUGGGGAAGAUAAUGACGGUACCCACAGAAGAAGCCCCGGCUAACUCCGUGCCAGCAGCCGCCGUAAAAC